UGCCCAGCAACUCCUAUCCCUACCUCCUCGUGGUACUGGCUGGGGUACGAGUAACCUUGGGGAAGAUCGGGUAACCAACCUCCGGUCGUAUGCUGACAGGGAAGG
rnacentral:ribozyme from 1 species